UACGUAGGGUGCGAGCGUUAAUCGGAAUUACUGGGCGUAAAGCGUGUGUAGGCGGAUCGUUAAGUGUCUUGUGAAAUCCCACGGCUCACCCGUGGAACUGCUGGGCAUACUGGCGAUCUUGGGCCAACUAGGGGCAGUCGGAACAAGCGGUGGAGCGGUGAAAUGCGUAGAUAUCGCUUGGAACGCCGAAGGUGAAAACAGACUGCUGGGGUUGCGCCGACGCUGAGACACGAAAGCCAGGGGAGCAAACGGG
rnacentral:rRNA from 1 species